GCCAAGCUCGGGGCUUUAGGGAUCAAAUCAAUGUCAGUCACUGGCAAAUAGGCUUGUUAGCAGUUAGAAUAUAAGGGAUGGCAUGGCAAGCACAUUGCCUUGGUCUAUUUCUGACGGAGGGAUAUAUAGAUAAAGAUUGAACAAAAUUAAGUAGGACAUCAUAAGAUAAACCAAUGUAGUUAUAUCAAAAUGAUCUGAGGAUCUGUAAAUAGAUAACAAAAUAUGAACUGACUAACAUGAACCCAAACUCAUUUUCUAUGCAGGGACCUUCACUUCUAGAGUUACUGUGUGGACAAGAUGAGUUGAGUUGGAAAGGAGAGAAAAUAACUGAACCACAUUAGUGGACAAGCACCUCCUGCCUGCUGGUGGAAAGACAUCGAGGGAAGUGGAAAUGCUGAAGGACUUCCAGUCACCAGCUUGUCCUGCCUGUGUUACCUGACCCAACCAGAGAUUCAGACACACCCACUGUCUGUAGCUGCGUGCCAAUCCCUGGUACCCUGUGAUCCCACGGCGCUGAACUUCCAUCCAGUUGGAAUGUGCAAUAUGGAGGGGAACCAAGAAGACGUCAUGUCGCAAGGUGAAUGAACCACAAGACAAAGGUGUUUUGAGGAGGACAGGACACACGGGACACAGCUAUUGUCAAUGGUCAUUUGAUUAAAUUCACUAUCAGUAGCAACCAUUUGUAUUCACAGAGACUGAAGAUAAAUGUACAAGGCCUGUAACAUGGAGGCACUUCAAUGACGGGGCACUGAAAUGUGACUUUGGCUCAUAGCAUCUUGUAGCAUGUUUCCACCAUGGACUAGACUUCCAGAACAAUAGGCAGCACAACAUA
rnacentral:lncRNA from 1 species